rnacentral:rRNA from 1 species
UGCAAGUCGAGCGAACCGAUGGAGUGCUUGCAUUCCUGAGGUUAGCGGCGGACGGGUGAGUAACACGUAGGCAACCUGCCUGUACGACCGGGAUAACUCCGGGAAACCGGAGCUAAUACCGGAUAGGAUGCCGAACCGCAUGGUUCGGCAUGGAAAGGCCUUUGAGCCGCGUACAGAUGGGCCUGCGGCGCAUUAGCUAGUUGGUGGGGUAACGGCCUACCAAGGCGACGAUGCGUAGCCGACCUGAGAGGGUGAACGGCCACACUGGGACUGAGACACGGCCCAGACUCCUACGGGAGGCAGCAGUAGGGAAUCUUCCGCAAUGGACGAAAGUCUGACGGAGCAACGCCGCGUGAGUGAGGAAGGUCUUCGGAUCGUAAAACUCUGUUGUCAGGGAAGAACCGCCGGGAUGACCUCCCGGUCUGACGGUACCUGACGAGAAAGCCCCGGCUAACUACGUGCCAGCAGCCGCGGUAAUACGUAGGGGGCAAGCGUUGUCCGGAAUUAUUGGGCGUAAAGCGCGCGCAGGCGGCUUCUUAAGUCAGGUGUGAAAGCCCACGGCUCAACCGUGGAGGGCCAUCUGAAACUGGGGAGCUUGAGUGCAGGAGAGGAGAGCGGAAUUCCACGUGUAGCGGUGAAAUGCGUAGAGAUGUGGAGGAACACCAGUGGCGAAGGCGGCUCUCUGGCCUGUAACUGACGCUGAGGCGCGAAAGCGUGGGGAGCAAACAGGAUUAGAUACCCUGGUAGUCCACGCCG